GUGGUGGCAGCCUGACUGUUUAUUUCUCCUUUUUGCUUGUGAUUGUGUUUCCCCCUGGUGUUUUGGCCUGCCUGUUUGUGUCUCCUGCUUUCCCCCUGCGUGUGCUCUCCCUCCCUCUCUCUCUCCCUCCCUCCCUCCUCUCUCUCCCUUCCUCUCUCUCUCCCUCCCUCUCUCUCUCCCUCCGCUCCUGAGCCCAGCCAACGAGCCGCACCUGCACCUCGUCAGCCUCCUCCUCUGCCUGCCACACCUGCCAGCGAUCAGCCUCAUCUCCGACAGCACUUCUACCCGGGUUCUCCAGUCGACCCCUGCUUGAUCGUCGUUGCUCCUUACCCGGUCAACUCGCCUCCGUCCUCUGCUCCGUCAGCUGGGCUCGCCACCCUGCCCUCUCCCCUCGGACCUCUUCCAUGGCGUCCUCCUGUGCCUCCUUGCUUCCUCGGUCCCCAGUGCCCCCGGCUCCCUUGUCUCAGUCUCCUCAGUUCCCCGUGUCCGUGUUUCCCCGGCGUCCGCCUCUUCCUCACCUCCACUCCCUCAACCCCUUUUCCCCUUCAAUAAAGCCUGUUCUUCCUGA